UCUCGGGAUAGUGUAGUGGUUAUCACGUAUCCUUCACAAGACCUUGAUGAUUCAAAGUCAUGAAGUCGGAUAAGGCCCCGGGUUUCAAUCCCCGGUCUGAGAA